rnacentral:tRNA from 1 species
GAUUAGCUCAGUUGGUUCAGAGCAUCUGGCUUACAACCAGGGGGUCGAUGGUUCGAAUCCAUCAUCGC